UACACUUCCUUGGUGUUCAUCUGCCUCACUU
rnacentral:piRNA from 1 species